UUCUCCUGGAAACUUUCAUCAUCGAAUUGGGAAAGGAUUCAGAAGCAAGAGACAGUGGAAAGCAGCUUUAUGCAAAGAGGGAGAAGUAAGCAGAGGAGGUACGGUGAAUCUGCAAAGAAGGGAGAGAAGGCACGUGAAAAAUCCGAUUUCUCCUGUGGUUCUCUGGUUUGGUGGGAAAGAAGAUUCAAGAGCUCAGCUAAGGUCCAGCUUGGGAUGAGGUCAUUUUGACGGCUUUCCUUCGCCUUGAUGCUAACCUGGUGGCGGGUUGACUGACAGUAUUGGUCUACGGACAGAGUUCUUGCUGCAUUGUUAAGUGUGGUGUGAGGAAACACUGAACAGGUAGAGAAAGAGAAGAAAUAUCUUUUCACAAAAAGACUGGUCCAGUCGCCAAAUAAUAUUAAUCCACAAGCUAAGAACAGUUUUCCUACCCAAACCAAUGAGAGAGAUAAUAAUUGCAUUUUAGCUUAUUUGUGUCUGUCUGUCUGUCUGUCUGUCUGUCUGUGUAUAUAGAGGACAGAAGUCAGCUUCAUGUAUUGUUCCUCAGACACCAUCCACCAUCUUUUUAAAGACAAUGUCUCUCACUGGGACCUGGAAUUUGACAAAUAGUCCAGGCUGUCUUGGCAUCCAGCCCCAGAGAUUCACUGUGUCAAUUCCUCCCCACUGCUGGGUUUGCAGACACAGGACUUCUCAUCAUAUUUUCACAUGUGUUUGCUGGAGAUCAACCUUAGGUCCUCCAAUACUUUAUAAACUAAGCUAUCUCUGUAUCCAAAGUUACUGAUCACGUCCAUCAUCAUUAUCAUCAUCAUCACCAACAACAACAACAACAUCACCACCACCACCAUCACCACCAUCACUAUCAUCACCAUCAUCGUCUAAGAAUGGAGUCUCAUUGUUGGCUUGGUGUUAGAAGGGAACCCUGACUCCCAGCUGAAAGAUGUCUGCCAAUUGAAUCUCAUCUCACCAGACAACAAAAGCAACAUGUAAGUCAAGAUCAGUUAGAGGUUGUCUUUGUCAGGGUUUCUAUUCCUGCAUAAACAUCAUGACCAAGAAGCAAGUUGGGGAGGAAAGGGUUUAUUCGGCUUACACUUCCAUACUGCUGUUCAUCACUGAAGGAAGUCAAGACUGGAACUCAAGCAGGUCAGGAAGCAGGAGCUGAUACAGAAGCCAUCGAGGGAUGUUCUUUACUAGCUUGCCUCCCCUGACUUGCUCAACCUGAUCUCUUAUAGAACCAAGACUACCAGCCCAGAGAUGGCACCACCCACAAGGGGCCUUUCCCCCUUGAUCACUAACUGAGAAAAUGCCUUACAGUUGGAUCUCAUGGAGGCAUUUCCUCAACUGAAGCUCCUUUCUCUGUGAUAACUCCAGCUGUGUCAAGUUAACACAAAACUAGCCAGUACAGAGGUUUUAUUUCUUUCUACUA
rnacentral:lncRNA from 1 species